rnacentral:pre_miRNA from 1 species
UGGCGGACUGUUCUAGAGUGCUUCAGUGGGCUAUGAGAACACUGAAGCACUCUAGAACAGUCCGCCAU